UACGAAGGGGGCUAGCGUUGCUCGGAAUUACUGGGCGUAAAGGGCGCGUAGGCGGCUUUUUAAGUCAGAGGUGAAAGCCCAGGGCUCAACCUUGGAACUGCCUUUGAUACUGGGCAUCUUGAGUAUGGGAGAGGUGAGUGGAACUCCGAGUGUAGAGGUGAAAUUCGUAGAUAUUCGGAAGAACACCAGUGGCGAAGGCGACUCACUGGCCCAUUACUGACGCUGAGGCGCGAAAGCGUGGGGAGCAAACAGG
rnacentral:rRNA from 1 species